GCUUUUUGUAUAACAUAUUAAAUGCAUAUAUAAAAUUUUGAUGAUGAAUAUAUUAAUAAUAGAAAUGCUCGAAUGGGAAAUAUGCCUCCACCUAUGACACCACCCUUCCCAUAUUCUGAUCGACCAAUGCCAAGAUAUGGGCUUGAUAGAGGAUAUGCUCCACCUGACAGAGGGUUUGCUCCAGAAAGAGGAUUUGGUGCAGAUAGAAAUUAUGCUGGAGAGAGGAUGAGACCAUAUCCUGACCCAUAUGAUCGUCGACCUCCACCUCCUAUAUCUCCAGGUCUGAGAGAUGAUUAUUAUUGUUACAGAAGAACUUAUGAUGAAUAUGGGUAAGGAUUACUUUUAGAAGUUAUUCCAAGAAAAAACAAUUUUGAUAGACAGCAAUUUAAAUUAAAUCAUCAAUGUGUAUUAGUUACAUGUGCAUAAAAAAGUUUGAUUUAUCUCCUUAAGUACAUUUCUUAUUUUUAUUAAUUUCCCCUUCAUUCUAUAGCA
rnacentral:lncRNA from 1 species